GGCAAAGAUGAAGAGUGCUUCUAAUUCUGACACCUCUUGUAUGAGAAUCUCUUUCUAAGAGCUCUUCUUUGAGCACAGAUAGCAACUCUCUGAGCC
rnacentral:snoRNA from 9 species